CUACGGGCUGCACCAGUGGGGAAUAUUGCACAAUGGGCGCAAGCCUGAUGCAGCAACGCCGCGUGAGGGAUGAAGGCCUUCGGGUUGUAAACCUCUUUUAGCAGGGAAGAAGCGCAAGUGACGGUACCUGCAGAAAAAGCACCGGCUAACUACGUGCCAGCAGCCGCGGUAAUACGUAGGGUGCAAGCGUUGUCCGGAAUUAUUGGGCGUAAAGAGCCCGUAGGCGGUUUGUCACGUCUGCUGUGAAAAUCCAAGGCUCAACCUUGGACUUGCAGUGGGUACGGGCAGGCUAGAGUGCGGUAGGGGAGAUGGGAAUUCCUGGUGUAGCGGUGGAAUGCGCAGAUAUCAGGAGGAACACCAAUGGCGAAGGCACAUCUCUGGGCCGUAACUGACGCUGAGGAGCGAAAGCGUGGGGAGCGAACAGGAUUAGAUACCCGCGUAGUC
rnacentral:rRNA from 1 species